rnacentral:rRNA from 1 species
CACCGCGGUUAUACGAUACGCCCAAGUUGACAGUCCUCGGCAUAAAGCGUGGUUAAUUGACACUAAGACUAAAGUCGAACCUCUUCAAGUCUGUCAAAAGCCUCCGAAGAUGGGAAGCCCAACAACGAAAGUGACUUUAAAAUUAAUGAACCCACGAAAGCUAUGAAA